GACGAACGCUGGGGCGUGCCUAAGAAAAUGCAAGGUCGAAACGGGGCAUUCCCUUCGGGGGAUGUCAGUGGCGAACGGUCGCGUAACACGUAGGCAACCUGCCCUGAAGUGGGGGACAACAGCCCGAAAGGGCUGCUAAUACCGCAUGGGAACAACGAACUGCAUGGUUUGUUGUUCAAAGGCUUCCCGCAAGGGGGGUCGCUUCAGGAUGGGCUUGCGGCCUAUCAGGUAGUUGGUGGGGUAAUGGCUCACCAAGCCGACGACGGGUAGCUGGUCUGAGAGGACGAUCAGCCGGAUUGGGACUGAGAUACGGCCCAGACUCCUACGGGGGGCAGCAAUUAGGAAUCUUGCGCAAUGGGCGAAAGCCUGACGCAGCGACGCCGCGUGCGGGAUGAAGGCCUUCGGGUCGUAAACCGCUUUUAACGGGGAAGAAGAAUGUGACGGUACCCGUUGAAUAAGCCCCGGCUAACUACGUGCCAGCAGCCGCGGUAAUACGUAGGGGGCGAGCGUUGUCCGAAGUUACUGGGCGUAAAGCGCGCGUAGGCGGUUGCCUAAGUCUGGGGUGAAAGGUUCAGGGCUUAACCCGAACAGUGCCUUGGAUACUGGGCGACUUGAGUGCCGAAGAGGAAAGCGGAAUUCCUGGUGUAGCGGUGAAAUGCGUAGAUAUCAGGAGGAACACCGAUGGCGAAGGCAGCUUUCUGGUCGGCAACUGACGCUGAGGUGCGAAAGCGUGGGGAGCGAACGGGAUUAGAUACCCCGGUAGUCCACGCCGUAAACGAUGAGUGCUAGGUGUCGGGGGUAUCGACCCCUCCGGUGCCGCCGCUAACGCAUAAGCACUCCG
rnacentral:rRNA from 1 species